UGCGCAGGCGGCUUUGCAAGACAGAUGUGAAAUCCCCGGGCUCAACCUGGGAACUGCAUUUGUGACUGCAUGGCUGGAGUGCGGCAGAGGGGGAUGGAAUUCCGCGUGUAGCAGUGAAAUGCGUAGAUAUGCGGAGGAACACCGAUGGCGAAGGCAAUCCCCUGGGCCUGCACUGACGCUCAUGCACGAAAGCGUGGGGAGCAAACAGGAUUAGAUACCCCCGUA
rnacentral:rRNA from 1 species